AUGUGGCUACAGGGAGGGACAACUUCGACGCUUACCACGAUGUUCAAACCAGAGGUGUCGGGAGUUUGGGUCUGCGGUGUUGCUGGCCCUAGAGAUGAAGACGCACACUUAAGAGGGCAAAAUAAGGGACUUCCAGAUCUUCUAAUGACUCACGGGGGAUAUCUUGACUGUCAUGAUGCCUGCACCCCCCCCCCCAACGUUGCAUCAAUUGUCAGCACAGCCGAGCUGAAGUCUCUCCUGUUCCAGGUGCUGCGUGCAUGGUUGCUGAACUGCCUGGUGACCCGACAAAGGCCUCUGGCCUCAGGAUCACCAACCACCAGGCCCACACGAAGAGUUAAACCACAGCGGAAGGACACGCAAGAUCGAAUCCCAUCCCGGAAGUCUGCCAUCCUCUUAACACAUGGGAGCUACUCCAGGUGUGGCCUUCAAGGGUGGGGGACCCUGAAGAAGCACACAGAUCCUGAGGGCGGAGGCCUCAGCCGAGCUGCCACACCCAGCGCAAGGGUUCUGGGAGGUGAGUCGGGCGCUCCGUGUCCGUCACCCCCUCCCCAUGCCACUGAAGGCGUCUCUGACACAUGGAGGUGGUUGUGCUUGGGGAGAAACACCUUCAGCCUAGAUGCCAGCCGGUCAGCUCCUUGCAGUGGUGUCGUGGCCAGCGCCCACUCCCAGAGCCCCAGCACCUGCCCCGCGAGGCGUGGUCCCAGACACGGCGUACCUCCCUGGGACCAGGCUUCCCUGCCAUUCUCCGAUCUUGCAGAGCCUCUGCCCACAGACUGGAUGGCACGUGGCCAGAAAGAAGAGUGCCCAUGCUCGCACAUACACACACCUCUUCUCUCGGCUCCUGACUUAGCCCUAAGUUGA
ensembl:lncRNA